UGGCUCACGUAGAACGCUAGCGACAGGCCUAACACAUGCAAGUCGAGGGGCAUCGGGGCGAGGAGCAAUCCUUGCCGCCGGCGACCGGCGCACGGGUGAGUAACGCGUAUGCGACCUGCCCGUUGCAGGGGGAUAAUCGGGAGAAAUCCCGUCUAAUACCGCGUAAUACCGCGGGGCUGCAUGGCCCUGCGGCCAAAGGGAGCGAUUCCGGCAACGGAUGGGCAUGCGUGACAUUAGCUAGUUGGCGGGGCAACGGCCCACCAAGGCGACGAUGUCUAGGGGUUCUGAGAGGAAGGUCCCCCACACUGGUACUGAGACACGGACCAGACUCCUACGGGAGGCAGCGUGAGGAAUAUUGGUCAAUGGGCGCGAGCCUGAACCAGCCAAGUCGCGUGAGGGAUGACGGCCCUACGGGUUGUAAACCUCUUUUGUCGGGGAGCAAAUUCCGCCACGUGUGGCGGAGUCAAGAGUACCCGAAGAAAAAGCAUCGGCUAACUCCGUGCCAGCAGCCGCGGUAAUACGGAGGAUGCGAGCGUUAUCCGGAUUUAUUGGGUUUAAAGGGUGCGUAGGCGGACUGUCAAGUCAGCGGUAAAAUACGAGGGCUCAACCUCCGCCCGCCGUUGAAACUGACGGUCUUGAGUGGGCGAGAAGUAUGCGGAAUGCGUGGUGUAGCGGUGAAAUGCAUAGAUAUCACGCAGAACUCCGAUUGCGAAGGCAGCAUACCGGCGCCCGACUGACGCUGAAGCACGAAAGCGUGGGUAUCGAACAGGAUUAGAUACCCUGGUAGUCCACGCAGUAAACGAUGAAUACUAGCUGUCCGGGGCGAAUGAGCCCUGGGUGGCACAGCGAAAGCGUUAAGUAUUCCACCUGGGGAGUACGCCGGCAACGGCGAACUCAAAAGGAAUUGACGGGGGCCCGCACAAGCGGAGGAACAUGUGGUUUAAUUCGAUGAUACGCGAGGAACCUANCCCGGGCUCAAACGACACAGGAACGUACCUGAAAGGGUUCGGCUCUACGGAGCCUGUGUCGAGGUGCUGCAUGGUUGUCGUCAGCUCGUGCCGUGAGGUGUCGGCUUAAGUGCCAUAACGAGCGCAACCCCCAUCGACAGUUGCUAACAGGUCAGGCUGAGGACUCUGUCGAGACUGCCGGCGCAAGCUGCGAGGAAGGCGGGGAUGACGUCAAAUCAGCACGGCCCUUACGUCCGGGGCGACACACGUGUUACAAUGGCAGGUACAGCGGGAAGCCACCUGGCGACAGGGAGCGGAACCCGAAAGCCUGUCUCAGUUCGGAUUGGAGUCUGCAACCCGACUCCAUGAAGCUGGAUUCGCUAGUAAUCGCGCAUCAGCCACGGCGCGGUGAAUACGUUCCCGGGCCUUGUACACACCGCCCGUCAAGCCAUGGAAGCCGGGGGUGCCUGAAGUGCGCUGCCGCGAGGAGCGCCCUAGGGUAAAACCGGUGACUGGGGCUAAGUCGUAACAAGGUAAC
rnacentral:rRNA from 1 species